rnacentral:rRNA from 1 species
CAUGCCGCGUGUGUGAAGAAGGCUUUCGGGUUGUAAAGCACUUUCAGUGAGGAGGAAAACUCUGCGACUAAUACUCGUAGGGCUUGACGUUACUCACAGAAGAAGCACCGGCUAACUCCGUGCCAGCCACUUCGGUGACUGAGCGGGCUGGCAAGGCGCAUA